GAAGAAAGAAUAUACAACAGCUGCUAUUUCCUAAGCAGAGGUGCCUGGAAUUGCAACAUGUGCUUACCUGUUUCUCAUUUUCUUAUCACUGACUGACAGUGGGAGGAAGAAGGUCCUUUGUGUGUGCAGAGAGAUGACUGCAGGGUCAUUUCACAUUUGAACAUGGACAGAAUCAGGUCUACCUGAACUCCUAAGACGCAGGAAGCCAGACCAGUGUCAAGAAUAUUCUUCAGUCUUUUCCUGAGCUCAUGAAGCAGAGCAGUCACAUGAAAAUGGAUAAAAACUAUGACCACUGGAAGAAUGCACCAUGUGGCAGUGAAACACCAGGCAAGACUUGUGUUAGAGUACAAACAGUAACAUGCCAUCAUUCUGCAUGCAAGGAACAGCCUUCCAGAGGCCACUGUGUGGAGAUGGAUUGGUACCUGUA